rnacentral:rRNA from 1 species
AUGCGCCGCCCAUCGUUGACCUCCAGGUCAUCAAGAAUGCCUGGGAUGGAAAGAGCUACCUCCUCAUGCAGAGCACGUCCAAGAUGGCGAGCAGGACGAGGUACUGCACGGGGAGGAUCAAGUCUUUCGUUGUCCCCCUCGCCAACUACUCCCUCGACACCACCGCCUCUCCAGGGGCAUACUCUGAGUGAUAACAUGUCAAUAUGCAUAUACUGUGGAACUAGCUGCUGA